AGAUCGUGGACGGGGCCUCUGGGUGGCAGCUCCGGCCUUUUGGUUGUUGGACAACUAUAGUCAGAACUGAAAUGGAACAGGGGCAGGAGAAAUAACACACUUUUACUCCACGCAACUGUUGCUUUCACAUGAUCUUCAGGAAUGUAACUGGGAUAAUUGUCCAAAUUGAAUCCCAUACCCUGUCAUGGUACUGAUUAUUAAGGUGACUAUAUGAAAGGAUCACUCCAAAAUAACACAUACCAGAAUAGGAGUCCUGUCUUAACUGAGCAAUAUACACUAUGGAGAGAUCCUUCAAAACCCGUCGGGACGAAUAACAGAUGAAUUCAUAAAACUGUUCAUCUCUGUUAUCCUGAAUGGUCACUCAGACAACAUUUUACUCAACUAUAAAGGGGAACACUUAAAGUGCAUAUGAGAAGAGAAGAGAAUGACCACAGGAGAAAAUCAUCUCAGCUUUCUCCACCCAGGGCAAAGGCAACAACAACAAACGUCCUAUACUCAAGCCGACUGACCUCAUCUCGUUCCACCCCACCUCAUCCAAUCAGAAAUCUCACACGCUCCAGGCCACGAUUUCCUAACCAGAAUCUGUAAGAGAGAUUCCAAGAACUUGGGAGAAGCAUAUUGUGUGAUGUUCUAUAUUUAUGAGACCCAUAGCAAACUGUGAAGAGAUAACAGAAUGCUUUUUGCGUGAGCUGAAACAGUAGAUGAAAUCUUUCAUUAAAAUUACUCAUACUUUGGGUCCUAUUCUUAUUUAUAAAUAAAUAUUAUUGCAAACAUUU
rnacentral:lncRNA from 1 species